GCCGGCAGCUCCAGUCCCAUGAGAGGAUGUGGCAAAGGCAGUGCCAGGAUGUUGAUUUUCUUUCUCUACCGGUGCAUGGGGAUGGCAUGGAAGCUCUCAGAAGGGCUCAGGGACAAGAGGAGGGACAUCCAUAGGACACUGGUUCACAUUCCCGGUGUGACCACCAUCCAGCAAUGAUGUGUCUUGGAAAACAAAGAUGGGAGCUCCUGAAUUCCUCCAGCUCAAAUGCUGAUGCAGUCUCCUUUGCCAAGGGACAAUCUGUUCUGGACAAUGUGCACGGACAGGAACAUGGCAAGAAAGACCACUCUAGAGGCUCCCACAGGAGCAGAGAAAGAAUAUGAAGGCAACUUGGAUGAGGAUGUUUGCUAUCUGUCUAUCUUGAUCCCGAUACAGCUGACCCUUGCUCACACCUGAACACAGGCCCUCCAAGCAAAGUUAACCCUAUGCUUAGCUGAUGGCCAAGGAAUGUACCUGUGUUCACCCCAG
rnacentral:lncRNA from 1 species